UGCCUGAGCACCAUGCCGGACAUGCGUGCGGAGGAGGAGCGGAGCAUGCAAACGCACCAUGUGACUGACUGGAGGAGCGGGCGAGGGCCCCUCUGCCUCCCUGCAGGUGGACACAGGCAGCACUGUGGGUGCAGGCAGCUGGUGAGAACCUGAGGGAAGGGUGUCUGCCAUCUCACCUUUUCCCGAGUCCUGGACCCUGGGUCGCUGCUCACACCGCACACAGGGUAGGGCUCUUCUGACCAGCUCAGAAAGGCCGGGCCUGGGCCCCUCCUGCUUCUUUGCCUGGCGUUCCUAAUGUCAGUGUGGGUCUUCUCUGCCUCCCUGAGCAGCCCACUGUGAGCACGCCCUGGCUGGACCCUGGCGCUGCCCCACCAGCUCCUGGAGAGGAGGAGAGGCCGAGCUGUGAACUAAGAAGCAGAGCUGGACCCUGACUGCAGCCUCUCAAGUCGGUCCUCCCAGCCGGUGUUGCCUGAUGAAUGUAUGCUGGGGUGGAUUCAGUUCCCUUAAAAACUGCAGCUUAUCUGUCAAAAUACUUCAGUCCUAUUUAGGGAGGUGAUGGGAGGCAAUGAAAUCAUAGACACUUGGAGAAAUCCUUCUUCUCCACUUAUUCCAGUAAACUCUCAGUAGCUCUUCAACUGCAAGAACCAAGCGGGACAGAUGCCUGACCUGAGGGCUGACAAGAAUGGGCCCUUCCUGGCCACCCACAUCCCCCUCUUCACAAAAGUCUUUCUUCUUCUUACUGCUGGUGGGGCCCAGGAGAGGGGCAGGUGGGGGAGGCAGCACAGCCGUCUGCCCAGGAAGCCACCAGGGAAGGUCCCUUCUCUGUUUCUCUGACCUGGGAAGCCAGGGUGUCCUGAGGACAUCAUUAGAGUGAUCCGCCUCUCAUGAAACAAGUGUAUACUUAGUAAGGACCCGCACUGGAGCUGCUGUAGGCAAAUCCAAACAGCCUGGUGAGCAAGGACAGAAGCUGCUCACACUGGCAGUCCAAAGACACCAGGCAGCUGGGCGCAGUGGCAUGGGCCUGUGCUCCCAGCUACUAUGGGGGCUGAGGCAGAAGGAUCACUUGAGCCCAGGAGUAUGAGGCCAGUCUGGGCAACAUAGACUCUGUCUUAAACAGAAAUGACCAGACACCCAGAUACAGUGUGCGGGGGCAUUAAGCAUGCAGACGACAGCUUUACCAGUCAGACAGGAAAGGGUGGCCAUCCCCUGGGUGGUGCAGGGUAGAAUUCAGAUAAAUUUCAGGUCUCUGGGAAACUGUCGAAAACACUAAGUCCAUACAGUUAAUAAAAGAAGAUGUAGGUGAAUAUAUUUGCCCUUUUGGGUGUGGAGGAAAUCUUUUUAGGUUUGGUAAGAAAGCCAGAAACCACACAGGAAAAUAUUUAACGACAUAAAAAUUAAAAGCUGGUGAACGCCCUCCCCCAGACUUGAGCAGUUGACCGUGAUCUAGGAGCAGACCUGCAGCACCCAUGGCUCAUGGCUGAUGUCUGGGGAGGUCUGAGGAGUCGGGAAGCCCUGCCAGGAGGAGCCAGCCCCUGCCCGGCGUGACAAAGCUGUGGGGCCCACGGCAGGUGGUGGAGGAGGCAUGUGGCAGUGAGGCCAGCUCCUGCCCACACCUGUGGGGCAGGGCUGGAUGCAGGGUCCUCAGGGUUGUGCCCCCCCAGAGCCACGAGUCGCAUCCAAGCAGGAGGUCCUGUGUGGGAGCUGAUCGGGAGAAAUAGCUGCAUCUCCUGUCUAGGGUGGGCCCUGACCUGUUGUUUGACCAGGUGAAAUCAGAACAGCAUUUUUCCAUCCAGCUGUGGUCUGUAGUGAUAGUAGUCUAUUCAGUUCAAACAGGCUCACCUCUGCGAACCAAGAGCUCAGUGCUCUGCGCCGGGCACAGAGCCGACGAGACGUGGAGGGGA